rnacentral:lncRNA from 1 species
UAAAUUGAGGUUAUUACAGUUUUCGAAAAGAACCUAUUAGCGAGGGGCGGAUUUAAAUAAUUCCUUAAAUUAUAAUAAUAACAGUAAUUACAUUUAAAAUUUUGCUUCAGUCGGUCUUUAUAAAGUUUCAAAUUUUGUCGUCUGAUGCAAUUACGAACUUAGACUUUUUAAUAUUGAUUUCAAAAUUGUCUUGUUUGAAUUUUUCAAGUUCAUUUCAAGUCUGCCAAACUUGCUAUCAUUUUUUUUAAUAUAGGCUACAAUUACUCAAUUUUAAAUAGCAAGAAAUAGUCAAUUCGAACAGUAGCGAGUAAAAGGCGCAAUUUCAAUCAAAUUUCACUUUAUGAAUCGUUCAUUCAAUUAAAGAAUUUUUCCUAAUUUUCUUUUGUUGGAAAAUAAAUCGCAAGGGCAGCGGUGGGGUGGGACCUAAACCGCCCUUGCUUUUGACGUAGUUUUAAAGCAAAGCGAUAUAAUAAAAAAUAAAAGUAAUAAUAACAGAAUCGGACUAACAUCAAAUAAUUUUUGUUUCUCUAUUUUUUUACUACCUAGCCAACAACUAUAUCUCUUGAGAAACUCGAGCGGGCAGGGGUCGUAAUCUAAAUAUGGGAAAUAACGACUAAAUGGGUGGUCCUGCUGAGUCUCCGCUGGUGAGGGGCUGAAAGUACUUUUGAAAAGUUAGUUUUUAAUGCUUCAGAAUCCACAGACAAGUCAAUUCAUUUGUACAGCAAUUCUUUGAACCGCGCAAUUGCCCUAAUUGGGAUAAUGGGAUAACGAGUCUGUUCUAACUUUAAAUUGAGCAAGACGUAGCUCUUUACUCCAUGUCGUUACGAAGUGACCCACGGUUAUGCAUUACAUUAUUAACAUCAAAUCAAUAAAGGAUUAAACUUCCGUCGCCAGAAGUUACUACCGAGGAGGCGAUGGAUUGAAUUUAUUGGAUUUUUAUAUGAAAAUAAAAUGGAGAGAGCAGGCCUUUUUAGUAGCUAGAUAAAUUAAUCGGCAAGACGUUAGCACGUUGCCGAAGUCAUUUCAAUUAACAACUUGUAAGAAAUAACUUAAAUAUUAUCGAAGGUUUAAGCAAGCAACGUCGAUAAAUUUUUUUAGAGAUUUAGAUUUCAAAAUAAAAUUUAAAUCAGUUUAAUUUAUUGUGCACCAAAUACAUGUGGCAUUGUGCAAGUUUAGCAGACUACAAAACAAUGACGUGCGUUAGAAGUUAGAACUUGGAUUCAAAACGAGAAUAAUAAUAACAAUGCACCUUGCAAAGUUCUAUAAAUGAAAUUGAUGACUAGCGCUAUGAGUCCUGUUUAUAAAGAUAAAAAGUUGGAUUUAGUGAUACUUACCUUUGAAGUAGUUAGGAUAAAGAAGCACCAGCAGAUCCAUUUUAAGGAUAGGCCAGUAACAUUUAACAAAAAAUGACAUAAUCAGGUUCUGAGGAAACUCUCUCAUUCAGAAUAAUGUUUGUUGUGCUGUGGCUUAUUCCAAUCAGCAUGUAAUAACCUCAAAUUUCUCAGUGAGCCACAGCCCACAAGCAAGCAAACUAAUAACAAUGAGUACAUAUUUUUUUUCAACUAUUUCAAUUACUAUUUUUUUUUAGACGAAUUUCUGGUCAGAAUUAUAAUAACUCUUACCUUGAUCGGUAAAAAAUUGUAAUAAUUCUGUGAAAGGGAAGAAUGUUGAAGAAUUACUAUUUGAAAAAUGUGAUGUCAUUUAUAAUGUGCAAUUUUUAGCCAAUAGGGCAACUGAACUGGCCAAGAGCAACAAAACAAAAUAUUUAGUUGUGUG